ACUACAGGGAACGGCCCAGGAACCCAUCCACCCGUCCCCAGCUCUCAUCACUCUGACCUCUGGCUUUUUGUUUCCUGGGGCAUUUCACAGCAAAUUCCACCUAUGAGACCAUGUCAUCCGUAAUACACCAGUACAUGCUUCCAGCAGCAGCUUGGUGACAUGAAAGGACCUCCGUGGCUGGCCUUACUCCCUGUGGAUGCCACAGCUGCAGGAUCCUGGGGCCCCAACAGAAGCCGGUGAAGGAAGAAUUCCUGCUCCAGCAUGCCUCUUCAAAGCAUUAUGGGACAACACACCCACCCAGUUUCUGUAUCGUGGAGCUUCUUGGGGAAGUUUCAGACUAGGAAACA
rnacentral:lncRNA from 1 species